GACAUGAGCUACUCGGUAAUAUAACCGAACCCUCUGGAAGGGUUCUCAGCAUAGAGUAUACUGUGUUAGAUGUCUAAGGAUGUACUGAGUAAAUAAAGUUAGUUGAUUUAUGACCAUGAACUGAAACAGUCGUUUUUAUAAUGUUGUUGAAAAGCCGGUUAUUACAGUGGCGACGAGGAUGAAAUAGGCGUUUUAUCGUGCGUGCGCUGCACGCAAUUGUUUUGUAUUCUCACGACCGCCGGCAAUGGUGCUUUUUGUGUGAUUUUUCCUCCGGGAUAAGUUGAUGUGGUGAAUGGUGUUACUCGGACCAUUUUUUUUUGUUUUCCUCACCAUUUUAAAACUUUUACCAGAGUAAUGCAUAUAGCCAUUUUGUAGAUUUUAGUGUGUUUUUUUGUUUUGUUUUGGUGUAUAGCAUUGCGUGAAAAAUCGCUUUUGCCUGUGAUAUUGGCGCUAACCAUUUUAUUUUACACUAUUUUUGGCUCCCUGUGCACAACUAAUUUUGAGAGUCAAUUUUAUUUAUCUCCCUUAAAACAAAAGGAAAGUGCGCUGUUUAGAACCAGUGUAGUGAUCAACUGUGGCAUUGAAGCGGUGUAAGAGUAAAUGAGAGCCGCUUCCUUUAAAAAUAAACCAGAGAGGAUUUAGUUGACCGGAACCUGGUUCGCUGUUCGCUCUUGUCAUCGUCAACGAAAAAUUGGCAAAAAAUGUGUGGUGCACGGCUGCGGAAGCCGAACCGGAGAUACGGUUUCACUUUACGGAUUUCCGAACGAUCCUGGCACGUUAACGCAGUGGCUUCAUUUCUGUGAUCAGGUGGAAAUGCGUGAAGCAGGACAAAGCAAGGAUGUGUUCAAGUUCCGGCAUGUAUGCUCAAGGGUUUGAGAGGGCAGCAUUUAAGAAUCCAUUGAUCGUAUCUUAAGGAUUAAAAAAGCAUGCGGUUCCCACUAUCAAAACGCUGAACCCCACCGCAGUGGAGGACAACGUAUUGGAUUACGAGUCACAGUACGUCGAACUUUUAAGCAGCGACAUGACCGUUGAUACUGGUGUUGUUGAAGAAGAAAUAGAUUAUGAAAAUGGAGACGAUGGAUUGCAGCAAGGAUCCACUGUUUGCUUCUCUGUGCUACUGUGCUAUGCUACUGUUAGUGCAGGGUGUUGAAAAUCGGGGAACAUCCGACAACAAGGAAAAUCCGCAACAUCCGACAACGACAUCUGGAAACAAGUUCUUCCGAUACUCGUCUUAAGACACGAUUCGGUUCUUCCAGCACCGAAAGCAGGAAAUUAGAAAAACCUCCUGCUAACUGAGAAGAAAUAGCAGAUACUAAAAGUCCGUCGUUGUAUUGAGACGGAUCGGUCUCCACAUUUUACAUCGGGUGGAAGUUGCUCUUUUGAGCACUGUUGAAGAGGAGGUCAUGGAAGUCAAUCAUGAUAUAUGACGGUUCACCCGGAACCAAGAAAACAGUUAUUGAUCAACCCACUGCGUUAAUUUCAUAAUAUGACUUGUACUGGCACCACAACCGUCAGCAGACGAACUACAGUUGUCGGAGAAUUUCCCAUCACAACAGCGUCCAUAGUUAUCGAGCGAGUGCUCGAUAUUUGCUUCAUAUUUACCAGGGAACACCGGAAUUACCAUGUUGCUUCAACACAAAACACCAUCAUAUUUACAUUAUCCGUUAGUCGAUCAGCAGUCGCACGAGCUGGUCCUCACUGGCUCUGAUGUCACCAAUCCUCCGUCACAUCUUCCUGCACCCGAUAUCAA